GACGAACGCUGGCGGCGUGCUUAACACAUGCAAGUCGAACGGAAAGACCCUGCUUUUGUGGGGUGCUCGAGUGGCGAACGGGUGAGUAACACGUGAGUAACCUGCCCUUGACUUUGGGAUAACUUCAGGAAACUGGGGCUAAUACCGGAUAGGAGCUCCUGCUGCAUGGUGGGGUUUGGAAGGUUUCGGCGGUUGGGGAUGGACUCGCGGCUUAUCAGCUUGUUGGUGGGGUAGUGGCUUACCAAGGCUUUGACGGGUAGCCGGCCUGAGAGGGUGACCGGCCACAUUGGGACUGAGAUACGGCCCAGACUCCUACGGGAGGCAGCAGUGGGGAAUAUUGCACAAUGGGCGGAAGCCUGAUGCAGCAACGCCGCGUGCGGGAUGACGGCCUUCGGGUUGUAAACCGCUUUCGCCUGUGACGAAGCGUGAGUGACGGUAAUGGGUAAAGAAGCACCGGCUAACUACGUG
rnacentral:rRNA from 1 species